rnacentral:lncRNA from 1 species
UGCACUGAUUCUUCAGGGUGAUUUUUUUUCUCUCUCUCAGAUUUUAAGGAACUCCUACCAAGUGAAGGAGACAGUGGUGCUGUGAAGCAUGGUGCAUAUGGUUGGAUGGCUCACUCAGCACCUUCCAGCUUGUCUUCCUCUGCUACACAGACUGGAAGGGCAGUUGCAAGAAUCUGAAACAAAGUGACAGACUACUGAAAUCACAGACUCUGACAAGUCGAGAAGUGCAGUGUCAUCCAAGCCAAACCUCUUCUACAAUCUCUGAAAGAUGCUCAUCUUCUGGCUGAAUAGUCCACUGAAAAGAUACUCACCAUCCCACUGACACAGUUCCAGCCAGCGUUUAUGGAGCACCUGCUGCGUGCCAAGCUCUGUUCCCCUGGCCCCUGGCCCCGUGGAGUCUAUGGUCUGAGGCAGGGGGGAAGGUGAGUGAGCAAGUAGCUAUAGUUACAUGUGGGCUGUUUUAGUUGCCCCCUGUUGUUGAAGGAGGUUAUUCCCAACCUGGGGUGGGAGGGAUAACUGAACACAUGCCACACA